GCCGCCGUAGCUCAGCGUGGUAGAGCAGCUGACUCGAGACCAGCGGGUCGUCGGUUCAAGUCCGACCGGCGGCGCCA
rnacentral:tRNA from 1 species